ACGAUCGGCGGUUACAUAGAUCACCUCUGCCAUUGACCACGGAUGUACUGGCACUGGCAUAGGAGAUGAGGAAGGUCGGGUUUGCCCCGGCCUUUUUUGUU
rnacentral:sRNA from 1 species